AUUGAACGCUGGCGGCAGGCCUAACACAUGCAAGUCGAACGAGUGGCGGACGGGUGAGUAAUGUAUGGGAAACUGCCUGAUGGAGGGGGAUAACUACUGGAAACGGUAGCUAAUACCGCAUACCAUCAGAUGUGCCCAGAUGGGAUUAGCUAGUUGGUGGGGUAAAGGCUCACCAAGGCGACGAUCCCUAGCUGGUCUGAGAGGAUGACCAGCCACACUGGAACUGAGACACGGCCCAGACUCCUACGGGAGGCAGCAGUGGGGAAUAUUGGACAAUGGGGGCAAGCCUGAUGCAGCCAUGCCGCGUGUAUGAAGAAGGCCUUCGGGUUGUAAAGUACUGUCAGCGGGGAAGCGUUACCUGCAGAAUAAGCACCGGCUAACUACGUGCCAGCAGCCGCGGUAAUAC
rnacentral:rRNA from 1 species